ensembl:lncRNA
AGUAAUGUGUAGGCGAUGACAUUCGAGAGUCACACCAUUCUUACUGUCUUUUAACUGCAGGUAAUCAUCAAACAUGGACAGCCUUCAUGUCAUUCUUGUCCUUCUUUUAGGAGGUCAUUGGAUUUCUGGAUCAGUGGUGGAUUUGACAGUGACAUCAGGACAGAACGUCACUCUGAAUUGUGACUGUGAAGCAUUUUCUGAGGAAUAUAUUGUGUGGUACAGAAAUUGUACCCAUGAAAAUCAGCCUCCUCUUGUUCUGAAACUAAAAGAAGAUGCAUGGAAAAAAAUCAGUGACCGAGCAAUUUCAGUGAAUUCUCUAUUACGCUUCCACUUUAAAAAGAAUCAGUCCUCUGGAUCCUAUGAUCUGCUGAUCAUGAAUAUUUCUGAUUCUGAUGAGGGCCUCUAUUACUGUGGAACUGAAAAGGAACAGUGGGUAGAUGGCACAAGCGUUCAGGUCAGAUAUGACCACAGAUAUGCCAGUAUCGCAACAAGAAUCUUAAUCAAUUCACCUCACACAAGUCCUUGCCCUGAUUCCAGUCCUUGCCCUGACUCCACUCUUCACUCUGACUCCAAUACUCGACCUGACUCCACUCCUCGUGCUGUCUACGACAGAACCUGUGGUUCCAGUCUCGUGCCCUGGCUGAUGAUGUUUACACCAGGAUUUUCUAUUCUCAUUUCAUUUUUUUCCUUUAUUUUUAUUUAUCAGUUGUGUCGGAAAACAGGUACUGUAUAUUUUAAUUAUUAGAAUUUAAUUUUUCGAAUUGUUUGACUCACCUUCAAACACACACACACACACACAGUCCUCCACAAAACUAUCUACAACCAUUAAAUGGCAAAUUCUUAAUGGCACUGUUGCUGCUGAAUGCUCCAGUAUGAUAGUGCAUUUUUGUUUAUGCAGAAAAAGAACUUCAAUUUUUUCAGAACAGACCAGAUCACAAUAAUCAAAGGAGACAGAAUGAGGUAAACUUUCUCUUCUUCAUUUUCUUAUCUACACUUGUUUUUGUUUUUUUUAUUGCAUAAACAGCUGUGUGUGGGUCACUAUUCAAAAGAGUAAUGUAAUACACAUUAUUAUCAAUUACUUACUAUAAGAUCAUCAAUUACUGUACAAAAUUACAAAAUGAUGGAUAAUUUUUUUUAGCUAGUCAUUACAAUGUUUUUACAUCACAUAGCUAGCAGUUAACUAUAUAAACCUUCUGUUACAGUCCCACACAUUAACAUAAUCUCUAUCCUAAUGGGAAUGAACCCAGGUGAUUAACUUUUAACAUAAAGAAAAGGAAAGGGGAAAAAAACUUUUAACAAAAAGCUGACAGCGUUAGAAAACAGACCAAAUAGAAUAGAAUAGAAUAGAUCUUUAUUGUCACUGUUACAAGAACAAUGAGACACAGUUUUGCACCAUGUAGAUUUAGAUUCGAAUUCUUUUAGGAUAGGAGAAUAAGAUAAAAUAGACUUAAGUUUCUGCAAAGUUACAUAAGUAUCUACACAAAAAAAAGGAUUGUUGUUGUGGCCUGGGCACAGUUUCAACUCUGUCACCACAUGCAUGUCUUUUUGUGAAAUAAAAAUAUCCAGUCUCUUUAAAAUCUGUAGACUGCUGUACAGUUUAUCGUUUCCCACCACAUACUCUAAAGUGAGCUCAUUAUACCACAAAUGCAAGGGGGGAUAAUUACUGAUGUGACUCAUGUGAUUACUGAAUUUAUUACAGUUAUUCAUUACAUUACUAUACUUGGGAAUUGAGUAGAACCAACUCUUCUCAGUAGUUCAGUUCCUUGGAAUUCAGUUCACUUCCUUGGAAAUUAACUAGUCUGCAGCCUUUAUAUAGACAUUACUUUUAGUUUUAAUGCACAAAAGGAUGAGAGCAGGAGCAGAAGUGCAAACUGUGACGAGAACAGAAACAAUUGUAUUAUGCAAAUAACAUAACUUCAGUGCUUUAAAAGCAUGCCAACGCUACCUAGUGCUAAGAUAGCCAAAAUCCCGGAGUAACAUUAAAGUUAAAUGAGUGCUGACCCCAGCAAAACAGCCAGACCCUGAACUUAUAUAACAAAAGAAGUGAUUAGCAGUCAGGCUGAAGCCUCCAUUUCUACCUGUUCAUGUUUCAACAGAAUCAAGUCUGUUUGUGCUUGUUUUCAACUUUGCUAUGUGCUGUCAGCUUUGGGUUCAUACCUAAAAACUAAGAGAAAGAUCAAUUGUGUGUCCUUAUUAGCACAAGUA